rnacentral:tRNA from 1 species
GGGCGAGUAACUCAGUUGGUUAGAGUAGCUGGUUUACACCCAGCCUGUCGUUGGUUCGAGUCCGACUUCGCCCACCA